rnacentral:lncRNA from 1 species
GGAGAGUUAACAUCUAAUCUGGAGGAAGACCCUGGAAGGAGCCAGCCCCUUCCCCCAGGCUGACCUGGUUUAAGCCUUUCUUCUGCCAAGGUCACCAGCACCCCAGAUGGGUGAGAGAUGUGAUCACUGGUUUCGUGGCCUGACCAAGGACCUCCAAGGAGGUAUCUUUCCCAUCUUGGCCCACAGAGGAGGAAAUCCUAGAAGGGAUGACUGAAGCUUGGGACUAACACAUUGGUGGAUCUGUGCUACCCCCUGCUGGCCGUAGACGGUAUGACAGCCAAGAUAGGGCAAGGCUUCGAGGGGCGAUGGAUGGAUUCACCGCAGCGGCGACAUUUCUGGACUGUUGUCACCUUCAGUGCAGUCACUGGGAAUAUUCAGAACCCAGGUGAUUGAUAAGGUUUUCCCAGGGAUCUCUUCUCUCCCCUUCACCAUUACUCAGUAGGAGCUUCCUUAAAAACGGAAAACGAGAGGCCGGGCGCGGUGGCUCACGCCUGUAAUCCCAGCACUUUGGGAGGCGGAGGCGGGCGGAUCACGAGGUCAGGAGAUCGAGACCAUCCUGGCUAACACAACCCCGUCUCUACUUAAAAUACAAAAAAUUAGCCGGGCGUGGUGGCACGCGCCUGUAGUUCCAGCUACUCAGGAGGCUGAGGCAGGAGAAUCGCUUGAACCCGGGAGGCAGAGGAGGUUGCAGUGAGCUGAGAUGGCGCCACUGCACUCCAGCCUGGCCGACUGAGACUCCAUCUCAAAAAAAAAAAAAAAAAAAGGAAAAAGGGGCCGGGCGCGGUGGCUCACGUCUAUAAUCCUAGCACUUUGGGAGACCAAGGCGGGCAGAUCACGAGGUCAGGAAUUUGAGACUAGUGUGGCCAACAUGGUGAAACCCCAUCUCUACUAAAAAUACAAAAAAUUAGCCGGGUGUGGUGGCGCAUGCCUGUAAUCCUAGCUACUCGGGAGGCCGAGGCAGGAGAAUCGCUUGAACCCAGGAGGCCGAGGUUGCAGUGAGCCGAGAUCACGCCAUUGCACUCCAGCCUGGGCGACAGAGCAAGACUCCGUCUUGAGGGAAAAAAAAAAAAAAAAGAA